rnacentral:tRNA from 1 species
GAGGGUAUAGCUCAGUGGUAGAGCACAUGCAUAACACACACAAGGUCCUGGGUUCAAUCCCCAGUACCUCCU